rnacentral:rRNA from 1 species
AGUGAACGCUGGCGGUAGGCCUAACACAUGCAAGUCGAACGGCAGCACAGUAAGAGCUUGCUCUUACGGGUGGCGAGUGGCGGACGGGUGAGGAAUACAUCGGAAUCUACUUUUUCGUGGGGGAUAACGUAGGGAAACUUACGCUAAUACCGCAUACGACCUACGGGUGAAAGCAGGGGAUCUUCGGACCUUGCGCGAUUGAAUGAGCCGAUGUCGGAUUAGCUAGUUGGCGGGGUAAAGGCCCACCAAGGCGACGAUCCGUAGCUGGUCUGAGAGGAUGAUCAGCCACACUGGAACUGAGACACGGUCCAGACUCCUACGGGAGGCAGCAGUGGGGAAUAUUGGACAAUGGGCGCAAGCCUGAUCCAGCCAUCCCGCGUGGGUGAAGAAGGCCUUCGGGUUGUAAAGCCCUUUUGUUGGGAAAGAAAAGCAGCAGGUUAAUACCCCGCUGUUCUGACGGUACCCAAAGAAUAAGCACCGGCUAACUUCGU